rnacentral:rRNA from 1 species
GCAUAUCAAUAAGCGGAGGAAAGAAAACCAACAGGGAUUGCCCCAGUAACGGCGAGUGAAGCGGCAACAGCUCAAAUUUGAAAUCUGGCCCCCCCCCCGGGGGGCCCGAGUUGUAAUUUGCAGAGGAUGCUUUGGGCGAGGCGCCUUCCGAGUUCCCUGGAACGGGACGCCACAGAGGGUGAGAGCCCCGUCUGGUCGGACGCCGAGCCUCUGUAAAGCUCCUUCGACGAGUCGAGUAGUUUGGGAAUGCUGCUCAAAAUGGGAGGUAUAUGUCUUCUAAAGCUAAAUACCGGCCAGAGACCGAUAGCGCACAAGUAGAGUGAUCGAAAGAUGAAAAGCACCUUGAAAAGGGGGUUAAACAGUACGUGAAAUUGUUGAAAGGGAAGCGCUCGUGACCAGACUUGGGGCGGGCGGAUCAGCCGGCGUUCUCGCCGGCGCACUCCGCCCGUCCCAGGCCAGCAUCAGUUCGCGCCGGGGGACAAAGGCGGCGGGAACGUGGCUCCCCAGGGAGUGUUAUAGCCCGCCGCGCCAUGCCCCGGGGGCGGACUGAGGGCCGCGCAUCACUGCAAGGAUGCUGGCGUAAUGGUCACCAGCGACCCGUCUUGAAACACGGACC